UGGGGAAUUUUGGACAAUGGGCGCAAGCCUGAUCCAGCCAUUCCGCGUGCAGGAUGAAGGCCCUCGGGUUGUAAACUGCUUUUGUACGGAACGAAAAAGGCUCUGGUUAAUACCUGGAGCUGAUGACGGUACCGUAAGAAUAAGCACCGGCUAACUACGUGCCAGCAGCCGCGGUAAUACGUAGGGUGCAAGCGUUAAUCGGAAUUACUGGGCGUAAAGCGUGCGCAGGCGGUGAUGUAAGACAGAUGUGAAAUCCCCGGGCUCAACCUGGGAACUGCAUUUGUGGCUGCAUCGCUGGAGUGCGGCAGAGGGGGGAUGGAAUUCCGCGUGUAGCAGUGAAAUGCGUAGAUAUGCGGAGGAACACCGAUGGCGAAGGCAAUCCCCUGGGCCUGCACUGACGCUCAUGCACGAAAGCGUGGGGAGCAAACAGGAUUAGAUACCCUGGUAGUCCACGCCCUAAAACGAUGUCAACUGGUUGUUGGGUCUUCACUGACUCAGUAACGAAGCUAACGCGU
rnacentral:rRNA from 1 species